rnacentral:rRNA from 1 species
CAACUUUUAACAACGGAUCUCUUGGUUCUCGCAUCGAUGAAGAACGUAGCAAAGUGCGAUAACUAGUGUGAAUUGCAUAUUCAGUGAAUCAUCGAGUCUUUGAACGCAUCUUGCACUCAUUGGUAUUCCAAUGAGUACGCCUGUUUCAGUAUCAAAAACACCCCACAUUCAAAACUUGUGUUUGAAUGGAAUUG